AUUGAACGCUGGCGGCAGGCCUAACACAUGCAAGUCGAACGGUAACAGGAAGCAGCUUGCUGCUUCGCUGACGAGUGGCGGACGGGUGAGUAAUGUCUGGGAAGCUGCCUGAUGAAGGGGAUAACUACUGGAAACGGUAGCUAAUACCGCAUAAUGUCGCAAGACCAAAGAGGGGGACCUUCGGGCCUCUUGCCAUCGGAUGUGCCCAGAUGGGAUUAGCUUGUUGGUGGGGUAACGGCUCACCAAGGCGACGAUCCCUAGCUGGUCUGAGAGGAUGACCAGCCACACUGGAACUGAGACACGGUCCAGACUCCUACGGGAGGCAGCAGUGGGGAAUAUUGCACAAUGGGCGCAAGCCUGAUGCAGCCAUGCCGCGUGUAUGAAGAAGGCCUUCGGGUUGUAAAGUACUUUCAGCGGGGAGGAAGGGAGUAAAGUUAAUACCUUUGCUCAUUGACGUUACCCGCAGAAGAAGCACCGGCUAACUCCGUG
rnacentral:rRNA from 1 species